rnacentral:lncRNA from 1 species
GAAAAUAUCACUUAAAGGGAAGAUGGGAAAUGAAUCUGAGAAUAAACAGGUACCUGAGAUGGCCUGUGCAGCUCCAUUUCUUAUGUCCUGUGUUCAAGACAAAGAGAAGAGGGAAGGACCAGGCCAAUCAUUUAUGUCUCUAUUUAUCAGAGAAACUAAUUUUUAUUUUCCAGAAUAUGCCUGGUUGACUUCCACCUGGGUUCUCACUGGUCUGGACUGAAAGGCUGAGAAACCGGGAAAAGAAUGGUCAUAACUGUCAGAGACCAAUUACGGUUCCCCAUCUGAAGUUGUGCAUAAUGUUAUUGUAAGCAAAACAGGGUUUCAGAUGGCAGCUAAGAGUAGAGAAUGGAAAGUGGGGUCCCACGUUUUGUUACCUCUGACAGUGGAAAGGCAACUGUAGCUCCAAGAUUCAUGUACAAGAGGGUCUCAAAACCCUUAAAGCUAUUUGAAGCUAAUGGUUUGUACAUUCUAGUUUACAACUCUGAGAAACAAUAUCAAACAAGCAUUGUCAACUCCUAGUGCUAUGGAAAAAACUCUUAAGUACCAUGGACAAAAACAGACAGAGCAAAGGGAAGAGGAUUGGAAGUUCCAGGGCGGUCAUAGCUGCAAUUUUAUAUAGAAUGUCCAGGUGGGGAUCUUUUGUGCUACAGCCUCAUCUGGUUUUUACUGGCGUGCUUCUAUUUCUUCUUUAAAAAUUCAGGCUGGCUUUUCUCAUAGUUGGGGAUCCUCACACUUUCCCUGGAUCUGGGUAAAAGCCAUGGAAGUUUUUUUGAUUCAGAGUUCCUCUGUCUUUCAAACAGUAAUAAUUCUCUGUUCUUCGAAGCUAGGAUUUAUGUGUUGUUUUGUUCCAGGUCGCUGAAGAGAGCGUAUUAAACAGCUAAAUCAUUCAGGAUUAAAAAAAAAUAAAUCUGCUUUUGCC